CCUACUGAUGAAGCGUUGUUGCCACAGUAAUCCUGCUCAGUACGAGAGGAACCGCAGAUUCAGACAUUUGGUUCAUGUGCUUGGCUGAUAAGCCAAUGGUGCGAAGCUACCAUCUGAGGGAUUAUGACUGAACGCCUCUAAGUCAGAAUCCCGCCUGGAAAGCGACGAUGCAUUCGUGCCUCGGCCUCGAGAGGCGUAGCUAGACGGCCGUGUGGCCGUGGAAAGAGCCCGAUUCCGACCCGAGAGGCCGCGGCAAGAGGCGGCCUCGAAGUCGGUGGAUCCUCCUGCUCGAAAGGCGGGGUGCUAAACCAUUCGCAGACGACCUAGUUGAAGAUCGGGGUGUCGUGAUCACUAGAGCAGUACAUCUCACUGCGAUUUGUUGAGAGUAAGCCUCAAGAUCUGUCGGUUUGU
rnacentral:ncRNA from 1 species